CUCCUCUUUCAAAGUUAUCAAAAAUCAGCUCACUGAUACAUACAAGCACAACAUUCAAAGAGGUGUUUGAGGCUGAAUUUGGAGAAAGAGGCAUCCCUGCUGCUGUCAACACAAUAUGGAACUCAACACUCAGACAAGAAGGCAGUUAUCCAAUGUGACCAUGAAAAACUCAGUUAUGUUCUAGAAAAGGCUGGGCACCAGGAGUUGUUCACAGUACGGGAGUGGAAUAAGCUGAAGGAGUUGGUGGACAUCCUGAAGCCAUUUGGAGAGGCAACAGAUAUGACACAGGGGGAGAAGAUAGUCACAAUCAGUUCUGUUGUUCCCUCGGUCCUGUCCCUGAAUCGCCACCUGGAGCAGCGGAAGCCUCAAGUCCAUUUCCUGAGCGGCCUGGUCAGAAGUCUCCAGGCAUCCCUGAACAAAAGAUUUAUUGGAAUCUUCAUCAAUGUGAAAAUGGUCAGGACACAAGAUGGAAUCACUGCCCCCUUUUCAGAUCCAGUCUACCUCAAAGCAGCUGCCUUGGAUCCGGCUCUUUCUUUGAUGUGGGUGGAGCACCUUUUGCUGGUCAAGGAGGAGGUGUCACAAAGAGUGAAAAAACUGAUUCUGCAAGCUGCUACAGGGACUGAGCAAGCUGUGCCUCUUGUUGAUGAGGAAGAGCGAGAGGAACAUAGACUUGGACAAGAAGAAGGGCUGUUUGCAGCAUACUGUAAGAGGCAGAAAAAAGCUGUUGGGACCAUUACAGCUAAGUAACUACCUUGACAUAUGCGAAGAACAGAAUGCCCUCUUGGUCUGGGCAAUGAACAGGAAGGCUCUUCCUUCACUGUCCCAAGUGGCCAUCAGGGUCUUGGCAGUGCCUGCCUCCAGUACUCUGGUGGAGCGUGUCUUCAGCCAUGGUGGCAUCAUACUGUGGCCUCAUCAUGCACAAAUGACUGACAGACUUUUAUCUAAUUUGGUCUUUUGCAAAUGCAAUGCAUCAUAGGGCCCUGAGAUAAUAGAAAAAAUGUAACUGUUUAUGCAUUACACACACACACACACGUAGUCUCCAUGUUCAGGUUUUCUCUCCCAUCUUGGGAUCUGUAUUUUUUUCUCAGACAUUCAGGCCAGUGUUCAAAUUGUAG
rnacentral:lncRNA from 1 species